CUACGGGCCGCUCCAGUGAGGAAUAUUGCACAAUGGGGGGAACCCUGAUGCAGCAACGCCGCGUGGAGGAUGACGCAUUUCGGUGUGUAAACUCCUUUUAUAUGUCAAGAAAAUGACGGUAGCAUAUGAAUAAGCACCGGCUAACUCCGUGCCAGCAGCCGCGGUAAUACGGAGGGUGCGAGCGUUACUCGGAAUCACUGGGCGGAAAGGACGCGUAGGCGGGUUGGAAAGUCAGGUGUGAAAUCCUACAGCUUAACUGUAGAACUGCACUUGAAACUUCUAAUCUAGAGUAUGGGAGGGGGAGAUGGAAUUAGUGGUGUAGGGGUAAAAUCCGUAGAUAUCACUAGGAAUACCUAAAGCGAAGGCGAUCUCCUGGAACAUUACUGACGCUAAGGCGUGAAAGCGUGGGGAGCAAACAGGAUUAGAUACCCAGUAGUC
rnacentral:rRNA from 1 species